AGCGGCGCUGAAUAGCUUCCAUGGUCAUCAAAGCCGAAGCCCUAAUCUCGUCCAAUUUUUUCAAUUCUGUUAACCGAUAUUGGAGAGAUUCUUUGUUACCCAACCGUUCUUCCAAUGCAAUUCUUAAACUGAGAACCUCCAAUUCUAUUGAUAAGAUGGCCUCCUGCCCGUAUACCAAUUGAAAAGGUGUGGAAUUGGUUGUUACUUUAUACGCAGUUCGAUA
rnacentral:lncRNA from 1 species